UACGUAGGGUGCAAGCGUUGUCCGGAAUUAUUGGGCGUAAAGAGCUUGUAGGCGGUUUGUCGCGUCUGCUGUGAAAUUUCGGGGCUCAACCCCGAACUUGCAGUGGGUACGGGCAGACUAGAGUGUGGUAGGGGAGACUGGAAUUCCUGGUGUAGCGGUGAAAUGCGCAGAUAUCAGGAGGAACACCGAUGGCGAAGGCAGGUCUCUGGGCCACUACCGACGCUGAGAAGCGAAAGCAUGGGGAGCGAACAGG
rnacentral:rRNA from 1 species